rnacentral:lncRNA from 1 species
CUGUAACAAGAGUGCACACGCUGAAAUGUCUCGCCUUCUAUACUAAUCAUUGAUAUUAUGUUGAUAGUCCUAAGUAUAAAGCUAAGCUUUAUUACAACUGUCACAUAAACUUAACAUUAACCAAGAUAACUAAACAAAGACCAAUGAACCUUGAAAAUGAGGUCAAGGUCAGAUGAACCAUGCCAGGCAGACAUGUACAGCUAACAAUGCUUCUAUACAACAUAUAUAGUUGACACAUUACUUAUAGUUUAAGAAAAAUAGACCAAAACACAAAAACUUAACACUGUGCAAUGAACCGUGAAAAUGAGGUCACGGUUAAAUAAAACCUGUUCGACUGACAUAAAGAUCAUAAAAUAUUUCCAUACACCAAAUAUAGUUGACCUAUGGCAUAUAGAAUUAGAUAAAAAGACCAAAACUCAAAAACUUAACUUUGACCACUGAACCAUGAAAAUGAGGUCAAGGUCACAUGACAUCUGCCCGCUAGACAUGUACACUUACAAUCAUUCCAUACAACAAAUAUAGUAGACCUAUUGCAUAUGGUAUGAGAAAAACAGACCAAAACACAAAAAUUUAACUAUAACCACUGAACCAUGAAAAUGAGGUCAAGGUCAGAUGACACCUGUCAGUUGGACAUGUACACCUUACAGUCCUUCCAUACACCGAAUAUACUAGCCCUAUUGCUUAUAGUAUCUGAGAUAUGGACUUGACCACCAAAACUUAACCUUGUUCACUGAUCCAUGAAAUGAGGUCGAGGUCAAGUGAAAACUGUCUGACAGACAUGAGGACCUUGCAAGGUAUGCACAUAUCAAAUAUAGUUAUCCUAUUACUUAUAAUAAGAGAGAAUUCAACAUUACAAAAAAAUCUGAACUUUUUUUUCAAGUGGUCACUGAACCAUGAAAAUGAGGUCAAGGACAUUGGACAUGUGACUGACGGAAACUUCGUAACAUGAAGCAUCUAUAUACAAAGUAUG